CAGCGCCGCGGGAAUACAGAGGGUGCGAGCGUUAAUCGGAUUUACUGGGCGUAAAGCGUGCGUAGGCGGCUUCUUAAGUCGGAUGUGAAAUCCCUGAGCUUAACUUAGGAAUUGCAUUCGAUACUGGGAAGCUAGAGUAUGGGAGAGGAUGGUAGAAUUCCAGGUGUAGCGGUGAAAUGCGUAGAGAUCUGGAGGAAUACCGAUGGCGAAGGCAGCCAUCUGGCCUAAUACUGACGCUGAGGUACGAAAGCAUGGGGAGCAAACAGGAUUAGAUACCCCUGUAGUUCCUGUCUCUUAUACA
rnacentral:rRNA from 1 species